rnacentral:tRNA from 1 species
GGAGAGAUGGCUGAGUCUGGCUGAAGGCGCUCGCCUGGAAAGCGGGUAGACGCAAAAUACGCGUCUCGCGGGUUCGAAUCCCGCUCUCUCCG